rnacentral:rRNA from 1 species
CGUGCUUAACACAUGCAAGUCGAACGAUGACUCUGUGCUUGCACAGAUGAUUAGUGGCGAACGGGUGAGUAACACGUGAGUAACCUGCCCUUGACUCUGGGAUAAGCCUGGGAAACUGGGUCUAAUACUGGAUAUGCACCGUGGACCGCAUGGUUCUUGGUGGAAAGAUUUUAUUGGUCAAGGAUGGACUCGCGGCCUAUCAGCUUGUUGGUGAGGUAAUGGCUCACCAAGGCGACGACGGGUAGCCGGCCUGAGAGGGUGACCGGCCACACUGGGACUGAGACACGGCCCAGACUCCUACGGGAGGCAGCAGUGGGGAAUAUUGCACAAUGGGCGAAAGCCUGAUGCAGCGACGCCGCGUGAGGGAUGACGGCCUUCGGGUUGUAAACCUCUUUCAGUAGGGAAGAAGCGAAAGUGACGGUACCUGCAGAAGAAGCGCCGGCUAACUACGUGCCAGCAGCCGCGGUAAUACGUAGGGCGCAAGCGUUAUCCGGAAUUAUUGGGCGUAAAGAGCUCGUAGGCGGUUUGUCGCGUCUAUCGUGAAAGUCCGAGGCUCAACCUCGGAUCUGCGGUGGGUACGGGCAGACUAGAGUGAUGUAGGGGAGACUGGAAUUCCUGGUGUAGCGGUGAAAUGCGCAGAUAUCAGGAGGAACACCGAUGGCGAAGGCAGGUCUCUGGGCAUUAACUGACGCUGAGGAGCGAAAGCAUGGGGAGCGAACAGGAUUAGAUACCCUGGUAGUCCAUGCCGUAAACGUUGGGCACUAGGUGUG